rnacentral:rRNA from 1 species
UACGUAGGUGGCAAGCGUUGUCCGGAAUUAUUGGGCGUAAAGCGCGCGCAGGCGGUUCUUUAAGUCUGAUGUGAAAGCCCACGGCUCAACCGUGGAGGGUCAUUGGAAACUGGGGGACUUGAGUACAGGAGAGAAGAGUGGAAUUCCACGUGUAGCGGUGAAAUGCGCAGAUAUCAGGAAGAACACCCGUGGCUAAGGCGGCUCUCUAGUACGGUACUGACGCUGAGACGCGAAAGCGUGGGGAGCGAACAGG